rnacentral:rRNA from 1 species
UACGGAGGGUGCAAGCGUUGUCCGGAAUCACUGGGCGUAAAGGGCGCGUAGGCGGCUCAUGAAGGCUGUGGUGAAAGUCCGGGGCUCAACCUCGGAUCGGCCGUGGCGACUCGUGGGCUGGAGCACUGUAGAGGCGGGUGGAAUUCCGGGUGUAGCGGUGGGAAUGCGUAGAGAUCCGGAAGAACACCAGUGGCGAAGGCGGCCCGCUGGGCAGUGGCUGACGCUGAGGCGCGACAGCGUGGGGAGCAAACAGG